rnacentral:rRNA from 1 species
AGUGAACGCUGGCGGUAGGCCUAACACAUGCAAGUCGAACGGCAGCACAGUAAGAGCUUGCUCUUACGGGUGGCGAGUGGCGGACGGGUGAGGAAUACAUCGGAAUCUACUUUUUCGUGGGGGAUAACGUAGAGAAACUUACGCUAAUACCGCAUACGACCUACGGGUGAAAGCAGGGGAUCUUCGGGCCUUGCGCGAUUGAAUGAGCCGAUGUCGGAUUAGCUAGUUGGCGGGGUAAAGGCCCACCAAGGCGACGAUCCGUAGCUGGUCUGAGAGGAUGAUCAGCCACACUGGAACUGAGACACGGUCCAGACUCCUACGGGAGGCAGCAGUGGGGAAUAUUGGACAAUGGGCGCAAGCCUGAUCCAGCCAUACCGCGUGGGUGAAGAAGGCCUUCGGGUUGUAAAGCCCUUUUGUUGGGAAAGAAAAGCAGCAGGUUAAUACCCCGCUGUUCUGACGGUACCCAAAGAAUAAGCACCGGCUAACUUCGUG